rnacentral:misc_RNA from 1 species
AGCAGCCGCGGUAAUUCCAGCUCCAAUAGCGUAUAUUAAAGUUGUUGCAGUUAAAAGUUCGUAGUUGAAUUUCGGGAUCAAUAUAUCGGUCGUGCCUUCGGUACGUACUGGUAUCAUUGGUUUCUUCUUUCUGACAAACCAUGAUGUCAUUAAUUUGGUGUUAUGGGGAGUUAGGACUGUUACUUUGAAAAAUUAGAGUGUUUAAAGCAGGCUUUAGCUUGAAUACAUUAGCAUGGAAUAAUGAAAUAGGACGUUCGAACCUAUUUUGUUGGUUUCUAGGAUCAACGUAAUGAUUAAUAGGGAUAGUUGGGGGCAUUAGUAUUCAAUUGUCAGAGGUGAAAUUCUUGGAUUUAUUGAAGACUAACUACUGCGAAAGCAUUUGCCAAGGAUGUUUUCAUUAAUCAAGAACGAAAGUUAGGGGAUCGAAGACGAUCAGAUACCGUCGUAGUCUUAACCAUAAACUAUGCCGACUAGGGAUCGGAUGAUGUUAAUUUUUUAAUGACUCAUUCGGCGCCUUACG